GACGAACGCUGGCGGCGUGCUUAACACAUGCAAGUCGAACGGAAAGGCCCUGCUUUUGUGGGGUGCUCGAGUGGCGAACGGGUGAGUAACACGUGAGUAACCUGCCCUUGACUUUGGGAUAACUUCAGGAAACUGGGGCUAAUACCGGAUAGGAGCUCCUGCUGCAUGGUGGGGGUUGGAAAGUUUCGGCGGUUGGGAAUGGACUCGCGGCUUAUCAGCUUGUUGGUGGGGUAGUGGCUUACCAAGGCUUUGACGGGUAGCCGGCCUGAGAGGGUGACCGGCCACAUUGGGACUGAGAUACGGCCCAGACCCCUACGGGAGGCAGCAGUGGGGAAUAUUGCACAAUGGGCGGAAGCCUGAUGCAGCAACGCCGCGUGCGGGAUGACGGCCUUCGGGUUGUAAACCGCUUUCGCCUGUGACGAAGCGUGAGUGACGGUAAUGGGUAAAGAAGCACCGGCUAACUACGUG
rnacentral:rRNA from 1 species